rnacentral:rRNA from 1 species
UCAGACGAUGCGUCAUGCAUAUCAAUAAGCGGAGGAAAAGAAACUAACAAGGAUUCCCCUAGUAACGGCGAGUGAAGCGGGAAGAGCUCAAAUUUGAAAUCUUAAAGGGUUUCCCUUUACGAAUUGUAGUUUAAAGAAGUGUUUUCUGUUGAGGUUUUGGUAAAAGUUCUUUGGAAUAGGACAUCAUAGAGGGUGAAAAUCCCGUAUUUGACCUUUACUUUCAACUUUGUGAUACACUUUCAAAGAGUCGGAUUGUUUGGGAAUGCAGUCCAAAAUGGGUGGUAAAUUUCAUCUAAAGCUAAAUAUUGGCGAGAGACCGAUAGCGAACAAGUACCGUGAGGGAAAGAUGAAAAGAACUUUGAAAGGAGAGUUAAACAGUACGUGAAAUUGUCAAAAGGGAAGCGUUUGACACCAGUGUUGUUUUUCUGAAAAUCACUUAAAGAACUGUUUAUGCUAAGUUGUUUAGACUUUAUCAGCUAACUGUUUAGUUUUGAGCUUUUCUUUAAUGCACUUUUCAGUUAACAAGUCAACAUCAAUUUCUUUUGCUGUAAAAAAGCUUGAGGAAGGUGGCUUGAGAUUCGUCUUAAGUGUUUAUAGCCUCUUGCCUAUGCAGUCGGAGAGAUUGAGGUCUGCAGCGUAGAUCCUUCGGGGCUAAAUGCAUUUGUGCUAAGUUAUAGCAUUUUAUAGACAACUUGUUGACUAUGAUUUGUCUUGUAGCUUACUCGCUUAUGUUAUUUUACCUACGCUUAGGAUGUUGAGCGCAUGUCUCUCUC